rnacentral:rRNA from 1 species
GAUGAACGCUGGCGGCGUGCCUAAUACAUGCAAGUCGAGCGAACGGACGAGAAGCUUGCUUCUCUGAUGCUAGCGGCGGACGGGUGAGUAACACGUGGAUAACCUACCUAUAAGACUGGGAUAACUUCGGGAAACCGGAGCUAAUACCGGAUGAUAUUUUGAACCGCAUGGUUCAAAAGUGAAAGACGGUCUUGCUGUCACUUAUAGAUGGAUCCGCGCUGCAUUAGCUAGUUGGUAAGGUAACGGCUUACCAAGGCAACGAUGCAUAGCCGACCUGAGAGGGGGAGCGGCCCAACUGGAACUGGAAAACGGUCCAGCCCCCCACGGGGGGGAGCAGGAGGGAAUCUUCCGGAAUGGGGGAAAGCCUGACGGGGCAACGCCGGGGGAGGGAAGAAGGGUUUCGGAUCGUAAAACUUUUUUAUUAGGGAAGAACAAAUGUGUAAGUAACGGUGAACCUCUUGGCGGUACCUAAUCAGAAAGCCACGGCUAACUACGU